UUGGUUGAUUUUGGCUCAAUCAGAGCAGAUGGUGGUUCGACAUCGAGAUGUCGUUCUCGCCCAUAUGGAAGAGUUGGGGUUAAGAUUAAACGGNCACCCCGAACUUUCACAAAGUGUGUGGAUGCUGCGCUGGCUCCACUGCGACUCCAGGGCGACUCCAGGGCAUCCGCAUACUAAAUUAUAUCGACGAUUGGUUGAUUUUGGCUCAAUCAGAGCAGAUGGUGGUUCGACAUCGAGAUGUCGUUCUCGCCCAUAUGGAAAAGUUGGGGUUAAGAUUAAACGCCAAGAAAAGUGUACUUUCUCCAUUACAGAGGACCACUUAUCUGGGCGUGGUGUGGGAUUCGACCACGAUGCAGGCACGCCUGUCCCCUGCUCGUAUCGAGUCGAUCCUCACGUCAGUCAAGAGAGUCAGAGAAGGCCAGUCACUCACUGUCAAGCAGUUUCAGAAACUUUUGGGGUUAAUGGCAGCUGCGUCCAACGUGAUACCUCUUGGCCUGCUGUACAUGAGACCCCUACAGUGGUGGCUCAAGACCAAGGGGUUCUCCCCGAGGGGAAACCCACUUCGCAUGAUCAAGGUCACGCGGCGAUGCCUACGUGCCUUAGACAUGUGGAGGAAACCUUGGUUCUUGUCUCAGGGCCCGGUGCUGGGAGCUCCUUGUCGCCGCGUGACGCUAGCGACGGACGCGUCCCUCACCGGCUGGGGUGCGGUCAUGAGUGGCCACCCUGCCCGCGGUCUGUGGAGUGGUCGCCAUCUGACAUGGCAUAUCAACUGUCUAGAGUUGCUAGCAGUAUUUCGAGCAUUGAAUCAUUUUCUCCCAGACCUAAGAGGUCACCAUGUGUUAGUGCGCACCGACAACACAGCGGUGGUCUCUUAUAUCAACCAUCAAGGAGGCCUGCGCUCGCGACCCCUGUACCAGCUGGCACGCCAGAUCCUUGUGUGGUCCCAGGGCAAACUCCUUUCGCUGAGAGCAGUACAUAUUCCUGGGCAUAUGAAUAUGGGAGCAGACAUCCUGUCGAGGCAGGGGCCGAGGCCCGGGGAAUGGAGGCUUCACCCCGAGGUGGUGAAGCAGAUAUGGACUAUAUUUGGUCAGGCUCAGGUGGAUCUGUUUGCGACUCAGAUGACAUCGCACUGUCCCCUUUGGUUCUCUCUAGUUCGUCCAGCUCCUCUGGGACUGGAUGCUAUGGUACAGACGUGGCCGAGGCUUCGUCUGUACGCUUUUCCCCCGAUCGCUCUGCUCCCGGGAGUUCUGGCGAGAGUACGCCAGGACGGGGUCCGUCUUCUAUUAGUAGCCCCGUUCUGGCCGGGCCGAGUAUGGUUCUCAGAUCUGAUCUCGCUCCUCGACGGCUCUCCAUGGGAGAUUCCCAUCAGGAGGGAUCUCCUCUCACAGGCGGAGGGCACGAUAUUCCACCCCCGCCCGGAGCUGUGGAAGUUAUGGGUGUGGCCCCUGAGGGGGCACAUCUCGUAGCUUCUGGUCUCUCAACCGAGGUUGUUGAGACCAUCCUCCAAUCCAGAGCUCCCUCAACGAGGAAACUGUAUGCCUUGAAGUGGAAACUUUUCACUUCUUGGUGCGGAGAUCGCCAAAUUGACCCAGUCAACUGCCCAGUCGGUACAGUGCUUGAGUUCCUGCAGGCCCGUUUCUCCGCAGGGUUGACUCACUCCACCCUGAAGGUCUACGUGGCGGCCAUUGCGGCCUACCACGCCCUUCUCGAUGGUCAGUCUUUGGGAAGACACCCAUUAGUUACACGUUUCCUCCGCGGUGCGCUGAGGCUGAAGCCUCCGAUAAGUUCUCNNNNNNNNNNNNNNNNNNNNNNNNNNNNNNNNNNNNNNNNNNNNNNN
ensembl:lncRNA